ensembl:snRNA U5 U5 spliceosomal RNA
GUACUCUGGUUUCACUUUAGAUCACAUAAAUCUUUUGCCUUUUACUAAAGGUUUCCGUAGAGAGGAACAGUUCUGAAUGUUUUUUUUAAAUUUUUGGGUCACACCUGGUGAUGCAC